ensembl:misc_RNA 7SK 7SK RNA
AGAUAUGAGGGCUCCCAUAUCCGGAGCUGGUUGCCACUCUGGUCUCUCCACUGAUUGCCAGGGUUGAUUCGGCCGAUCUGGCUGGCUAGGCAGGUGUCCCCUUCCUCUCUCAUCGCUCCACAUGUGACCCUCUCAAAGAUGCGAGAUCAGUCGAAGAGGACAACCAUCUCUGAUGGAGGAGGACCAGUCUUCGAUCAAGAAUAUAUGAGUGGCUGCACUCCCCUGCUAGAACCUCCAAACAAGCUCUCACGUCUAAGCUCCUAUGAGUCUACAAAUCAGCCCUGUAGACGCUCAAGGGCAAAAUUAGACAAGAAAGGAGCAAACUGAGCCACAGACGCCUAUAAGGAAUGGGCUAGUCGAAUCAC